rnacentral:tRNA from 1 species
GCCCCCAUAGUCUAACCUGGAUAGGACGCGACCCUGCGGAGGUUGCGGUCGGGGUUCAAAACGCUUUUUAGCUGCA